rnacentral:rRNA from 1 species
CUACGGGCUGCUGCAGUGGGGAAUAUUGCACAAUGGGCGCAAGCCUGAUGUAGCCAUGCCGCGUGUAUGAAGAAGGCCUUCGGGUUGUAAAGUACUUUCAGCGGGGAGGAAGGGAGUAAAGUUAAUACCUUUGCUCAUUGACGUUACCCGCAGAAGAAGCACCGGCUAACUCCGUGCCAGCAGCCGCGGUAAUACGGAGGGUGCAAUCGUUAAUCGGAAUUACUGGGCGUAAAGCGCACGCAGGCGGUUUGUUAAGUCAGAUGUGAAAUCCCCGGGCUCAACCUGGGAACUGCAUCUGAUACUGGCAAGCUUGAGUCUCCUAGAGGGGGGUAGAAUUCCAGGUGUAGCGGUGAAAUGCGUAGAGAUCUGGAGGAAUACCGGUGGCGAAGGCGGCCCCCUGGACGAAGACUGACGCUCAGGUGCGAAAGCGUGGGGAGCAAACAGGAUUAGAUACCCGCGUAGUC